GUUGCAAUGGCUGAGUGGUAAAGCGAUUGGCUUCCAAACCAAAGGUUCUGGGCUUGAAUCCUGGUAAAGACU
rnacentral:tRNA from 1 species